rnacentral:lncRNA from 1 species
CUGUGGGGCCUCCUCCUCCCCACAGCCCCCUCUCCUCCUUUGCCAUUGGCCCUUACGGCCUAUCCUUCUCUUUUUAGGUUCCGCCCCCCCCUUCCUGCCCUCGUCUUCCUGUGGCGUCUUCCGGGUAGCGCCGCGCCCCCGGCGCGGGAGAGGCUCCGGGGGGUGGGAAAGGCAGUAACCCCUCUCUCAGUGCUGGGACUCUCUCAGCUGUUUAUUGAUUUUACCAGGAUUGACAAAAGCAGCUUGAUGAGCUCGGUUCAACCAGCAUCCCUAAAAAGAGACUGACAGCACCUCAGCUCUGAGACCACUCAGCAGCAAAUGGAGCCCAAGGCGAUUCCUGCAGCACAAAAUUACCAUGUCCUCCAGCCAUUUGGAACCUGCCAGAGCCCCUUAACGCUGAAAGAUAAGUUUGGGGCGUAAUUAGCGUUUGAAGGGUCUGUCCAUUUUGGAAGCAAUUAGAAGAUUGCUGUUUCUCCCAGCCAUGGCGAACGGCUUCGGGCAAGAGCUAAGAGCUCUGUGGAAUUGCUUCAGUGGAGCUGAUGCCUCCUGGAUGUUUCGGGCUACCAAGGAAGAGAAAAGCCUGAGGAUGGAGGUGGCCCUUUGCUGGCCCAUGGAGCUGUGGUCUGGGAAGAUGCCUGGUCAGUUGUUAGUCCACCUACCAAAUUAGUGAUGGUCAGAUUGUGCAGCAACCAGCA